CUGCUGCCUUCCGUAGGAGUCUGGGCCGUGUCUCAGUCCCAAUGUGGCCGUUCAACCUCUCAGUCCGGCUACCGAUCGUCGGCUUGGUGGGCUAUUAUCUCACCAACUACCUAAUCGGGCGCGAGCCCAUCUUUCAGCGAUAAAUCUUUGAUUGGGUCAUGAUGCCAUAUCCCAAUGUUAUGCGGUAUUAGCGUUCGUUUCCAAACGUUAUUCCCCUCUGAAAGGCAGGUUGCUCACGUGUUACUCACCCCG
rnacentral:rRNA from 1 species